CAACCGUUGCUAUUCUCUGGU
rnacentral:siRNA from 1 species